UCGAGAAUAAUUCACAAUGGGGGCAACCCUGAUGGUGCAACGCCGCGUGGAGGAUGACGGUCUUCGGAUUGUAAACUCCUGUCAUCCGGGAGUAAGACCUGGCAGUUAAUAGCUGACAGGGUUGAUAGUACCGGAAGAGGAAGGGACGGCUAACUUCGUGCCAGCAGCCGCGGUAAUACGAAGGUCCCGAGCGUUGUUCGGAAUCACUGGGCGUAAAGGGAGCGUAGGCGGCGUGGUAAGUCAGAUGUGA
rnacentral:rRNA from 1 species